rnacentral:misc_RNA from 1 species
GAUGAAGAACGUAGCGAAAUGCGAUAAGUAAUGUGAAUUGCAGAAUUCAGUGAAUCAUCGAAUCUUUGAACGCACCUUGCGCUCCUUGGUAUUCCGAGGAGCAUGCCUGUUUGAGUGUCAUUAAAUUCUCAACCUCACCAAUUUUUGUAAUGAAAGUUGUGUGCAGGCUUGGAUGUGGGGGUUUGCAGGUCCGCUCCUUGGUGGUCUGCUCCUCUAAAAUGCAUUAGUGGGUUGUGCCCCUAAUCUAUUGGUGUGAUAAUUAUCUACGCCGUGGAUGAGGUUGGCUACUAUAGACCUGCUUCUAACCGUCCGUCUCGGACAACUUUGACAUUUUUGACCUCAAAUCAGGUAAGACUACCCGCUGAACUUAAGCAUAUCAAUAAGCGGAGGA